GCUGGGUGUGGUGGAGCGUGCCUGUAGUCCCAGCUACUUGGGAGGCUGAGAUAGGAGGAUCACUCGAGCCCAGGAGUUCGAGGCUGCAGUGAGCUAUGAUCAUGUCAUUGCACUCUGGGCUGGGCAAUGGUGUGAGACCCUAUCUCUA
rfam:Gorilla gorilla gorilla genomic chromosome, chr9, whole genome shotgun sequence